ACUCAAAGGAAUAGACGGGGGCCCGCACAAGCAGCGGAGCAUGUGGCUUAAUUCGACGCAACGCGAAGAACCUUACCAAGGCUUGACAUACGCCGGAAAACCCUGGAGACAGGGUCCCCCUUGUGGUCGGUGUACAGGUGGUGCAUGGCUGUCGUCAGCUCGUGUCGUGAGAUGUUGGGUUAAGUCCCGCAACGAGCGCAACCCUUGUUCUGUGUUGCCAGCACGCCCUUCGGGGUGGUGGGGACUCACAGGAGACUGCCGGGGUCAACUCGGAGGAAGGUGGGGACGACGUCAAGUCAUCAUGCCCCUUAUGUCUUGGGCUGCACACGUGCUACAAUGGCAGGUACAAAGAGCUGCGAUACCGUGAGGUUGAGCGAAUCUCAAAAAGCCUGUCUCAGUUCGGAUUGGGGUCUGCAACUCGACCCCAUGAAGUCGGAGUUGCUAGUAAUCGCAGAUCAGCAUUGCUGCGGUGAAUACGUUCCCGGGCCUUGCACACACCGCCCGU
rnacentral:rRNA from 1 species